rnacentral:rRNA from 1 species
GCGGUGGAGCAUGUGGUUUAAUUCGAAGCAACGCGAAGAACCUUUACCAGGUCUUGACAUCCCGAUGCUAUUUCUAGAGAUAGAAAGUUACUUCGGUACAUCGGUGACAGGUGGUGCAUGGUUGUCGUCAGCUCGUGUCGUGAGAUGUUGGGUUAAGUCCCGCAACGAGCGCAACCCCUAUUGUUAGUUGCCAUCAUUCAGUUGGGCACUCUAGCGAGACUGCCGGUAAUAAACCGGAGGAAGGUGGGGAUGACGUCAAAUCAUCAUGCCCCUUAUGACCUGGGCUACACACGUGCUACAAUGGUUGGUACAACGAGUUGCGAGUCGGUGACGGCGAGCUAAUCUCUUAAAGCCAAUCUCAGUUCGGAUUGUAGGCUGCAACUCGCCUACAUGAAGUCGGAAUCGCUAGUAAUCGCGGAUCAGCACGCCGCGGUGAAUACGUUCCCGGGCCUU